GAUGAACGCUGGCGGCGUGCCUAAUACAUGCAAGUCGAGCGAACAGAUGAGGAGCUUGCUCCUCUGACGUUAGCGGCGGACGGGUGAGUAACACGUGGAUAACCUACCUAUAAGACUGGGAUAACUUCGGGAAACCGGAGCUAAUACCGGAUAAUAUAUUGAACCGCAUGGUUCAAUAGUGAAAGACGGUUUUGCUGUCACUUAUAGAUGGAUCCGCGCCGCAUUAGCUAGUUGGUAAGGUAACGGCUUACCAAGGCAACGAUGCGUAGCCGACCUGAGAGGGUGAUCGGCCACACUGGAACUGAGACACGGUCCAGACUCCUACGGGAGGCGGCAGUAGGGAAUCUUCCGCAAUGGGCGAAAGCCUGACGGAGCAACGCCGCGUGAGUGAUGAAGGUCUUCGGAUCGUAAAACUCUGUUAUUAGGGAAGAACAAAUGUGUAAGUAACUAUGCACGUCUUGACGGUACCUAACCAGAAAGCCACGGCUAACUACGUG
rnacentral:rRNA from 1 species